GACGAACGCUGGCGGCGUGCUUAACACAUGCAAGUCGAACGGAAAGGCCCUGCUUUUGUGGGGUGCUCGGGUGGCGAACGGGAGGGGAACACGAGAGGAACCUACCCUGCACUCUGGGAUAACUUCACGACACUGGAGCGAGUCCAGGAUAGGAUCUUCUGGGGCAGGGGGGGGGUUGGAAAGGGUCGGCGGUUGGGGAUGGGCGGGCGGCUUAUCAGCCUGUUGGGGGGGUUGUGGGUUACCAGGGCUUGGACGGGUAGCCGGCCUGAGAGGGAGACCGGCAACAUUGGGACUGCGAUACGGCGCAGACUCGUACGGGAGGCAGCAGUGGGGAAUAUUGUAAAACGGCGGCGAGCCGGAUGCAGCGGCGCCGCGCGCGGGAUGAACGCCUUCGGGUUGUGAACCGCUCUCGCCUGUGACGAGGGGUGAUUGACGGUAAUGGGUAAAGAAGCACCGGCUAACUACGUG
rnacentral:rRNA from 1 species